rnacentral:rRNA from 1 species
AGCAGCCGCGGUAAUUCCAGCUCCAAUAGCGUAUAUUAAAGUUGUUGCAGUUAAAAAGCUCGUAGUUGAAUUUCGGGGUUAGUAGGUUGGUCAUGCCUCCGGUAUGUACUGAUCUCACUGAUUCCUCCUUCCUUAUGAACCGUAAUGCCAUUAAUUUGGUGUUGCGGGGAAUUUGGACUGUUACUUUGAAAAAAUUAGAGUGUUUAAAGCAGGCUAACGCUUGAAUACAUUAGCAUGGAAUAAUGAAAUAGGACGUUCGAUCUUAUUUUGUUGGUUUCUAGGAUUGACGUAAUGAUUAAUAGGGAUAGUUGGGGGCAUUAGUAUUCAAUUGUCAGAGGUGAAAUUCUUGGAUUUAUUGAAGACUAACUACUGCGAAAGCAUUUGCCAAGGAUGUUUUCAUUAAUCAAGAACGAAAGUUAGGGGAUCGAAGACGAUCAGAUACCGUCGUAGUCUUAACCAUAAACUAUGCCGACUAGGGAUCGGAUGAUGUUAAUUUUUUAAUGACUCA